UGGCGCACGGGUGCGUAACACGUAGAUAAUCUGCCCUUCGAAGGGGGAUAACGUUCCGAAAGGAGCGCUAAUACCGCAUAACGCCAGUCGGGGUUCGCCUUGGCUGGACAAAGGCUGGGAUCGCAAGACCAGUCGUCGAAGGAGGAGUCUGCGGCCCAUCAGCUAGUUGGUAAGGUAAUAGCUUACCAAGGCAAAGACGGGUAGCUGGUCUGAGAGGAUGAUCAGCCACACUGGUACUGGAACACGGACCAGACUCCUACGGGAGGCAGCAGUGGGGAAUCUUGGUCAAUGGGCGCAAGCCUGAUCCAGCCAUGCCGCGUGGGUGAUGAAGGCCCUAGGGUUGUAAAGC
rnacentral:rRNA from 1 species